UGGGGAAUAUUGCACAAUGGGGGAAACCCUGAUGCAGCGACGCCGCGUGAAGGAAGAAGUAUCUCGGUUUGUAAACUUCUAUCAGCAGGGAAGAUAGUGACGGUACCUGACUAAGAAGCCCCGGCUAACUACGUGCCAGCAGCCGCGGUAAUACGUAGGGGGCAAGCGUUAUCCGGAUUUACUGGGUGUAAAGGGAGCGUAGACGGUGUGGCAAGUCUGAUGUGAAAGGCAUGGGCUCAACCUGUGGACUGCAUUGGAAACUGUCAUACUUGAGUGCCGGAGGGGUAAGCGGAAUUCCUAGUGUAGCGGUGAAAUGCGUAGAUAUUAGGAGGAACACCAGUGGCGAAGGCGGCUUACUGGACGGUAACUGACGUUGAGGCUCGAAAGCGUGGGGAGCAAACAGG
rnacentral:rRNA from 1 species